rnacentral:rRNA from 1 species
AGCGAACGCUGGCGGCAGGCCUAACACAUGCAAGUCGAACGAAGUCUUCGGACUUAGUGGCGGACGGGUGAGUAACACGUGGGAACGUGCCUUUAGGUUCGGAAUAACUCAGGGAAACUUGUGCUAAUACCGAAUGUGCCCUUCGGGGGAAAGAUUUAUCGCCUUUAGAGCGGCCCGCGUCUGAUUAGCUAGUUGGUGGGGUAAUGGCCCACCAAGGCUACGAUCAGUAGCUGGUCUGAGAGGAUGACCAGCCACAUUGGGACUGAGACACGGCCCAAAAUCCUACGGGAGGCAGCAGUGGGGAAUCUUGCGCAAUGGGCGAAAGCCUGACGCAGCCAUGCCGCGUGGAUGAUGAAGGUCUUAGGAUUGUAAAAUCCUUUCGCCGGUGAAGAUAAUGACUGUAGCCGGAGAAGAAGCCCCGGCUAACUUCGUGCCAGCCGCCGCCGUAACAC